rnacentral:rRNA from 1 species
CCUACGGGUGGCAGCAGUGAGGAAUAUUGGUCAAUGGGCGCGAGCCUGAACCAGCCAAGUCGCGUGAAGGAUGACUGCCCUACGGGUUGUAAACUUCUUUUAUAAAGGCAUAAAGUGAGGCACGUGUGCCUUUUUGUAUGUACUUUAUGAAUAAGGAUCGGCUAACUCCGUGCCAGCAGCCGCGGUAAUACGGAGGAUCCGAGCGUUAUCCGGAUUUAUUGGGUUUAAAGGGAGCGUAGGUCGGUCGUUAAGCGUGCAGUGAAAUUGUGUGGCUCAACCAUGAGAGUGCGGCUGGAACUGGAGACCUUGAGUGCGGGGGAGGCAGGCGGAAUUCGUGGUGUAGCGGUGAAAUGCUUAGAUAUCACGAAGAACCCCGAUUGCGAAGGCAGCCUGCCGCAGCGUUACUGACGCUGAGGCUCGAAAGCGCGGGUAGCGAACAGGAUUAGAUACCCCUGUAGUC